rfam:Gorilla gorilla gorilla genomic chromosome, chr7, whole genome shotgun sequence
GCUGGGUGUGGUGGUGCACACUGGUGGUCCCAGCUACUUGGGAGGCUGAGACAGGAGGAUUGCUUGAGCCCAGGAGUUCAAGGCUGCAAUGAGUUAUGAUUGUGCCACUGCACUCCAGCCUGGGCAACAGAGCAGGACCCUGUCUCAA